rnacentral:rRNA from 1 species
AAGAAGGUCUUCAGAUCGUAAAACCCUGUUGUUAGAGAAGAAAGUGCGUGAGAGUAACUGUUCACGUUUCGACGGUAUCUAACCAGAAAGCCACGGCUAACUACGUGCCAGCAGCCGCGGUAAUACGUAGGUGGCAAGCGUUAUCCGGAUUUAUUGGGCGUAAAGGGAACGCAGGCGGUCUUUUAAGUCUGAUGUGAAAGCCUUCGGCUUAACCGGAGUAGUGCAUUGGAAACUGGGAGACUUGAGUGCAGAAGAGGAGAGUGGAACUCCAUGUGUAGCGGUGAAAUGCGUAGAUAUAUGGAAGAACACCAGUGGCGAAAGCGGCUCUCUGGUCUGUAACUGACGCUGAGGUUCGAAAGCGUGGGUAGCAAACAGGAUUAGAUACCCUGGUAGUCCACGCCGUAAACGAUGAAUGCUAAGUGUUGGAGGGUUUCCGCCCUUCA